UUCAUCGUAGGGAGGGUACUCGAGUGCGUCGUUGUCCUCCUGCGGUUUGUCAGCGAGCGCCAUGUUGAAAAGCUUGUGGGCGGAUUCGGUCGCCGGAGCUCCGCCGAGGUCCCAUGGAGAUUUGGGGUUGCCGAGGUCGGACCAGACGGCGGGGAGGGCGGAGAGCAUUUGAUCGAAGAAAUCGUCGUGCUCGGCGCCGGAGUGGAAGUGGGAUUGUGCGCCGCCGGCGGGCUGGAUCUGCUGGUGUUGCUGAUGGUGGUGGUUGUUGAGCUCCGGGAGGGGGAUGCGGCCGGAGGUGGGUGAGGGAAUUG
rnacentral:misc_RNA from 1 species